rnacentral:tmRNA from 1 species
GGGGAUGACCGGUUUUGACAGCGUGUAGAGGUGGUGUGUAAGCAUGCAGAGCAACGAUGCCUACGCUCUAUAAUCAGGGACAUCAAAAUUUUAAAUGGCGAAAACACUUACGCUCUUGCUGCCUAAUCGAAGUACAGUAGAUUACGCUUAAUCUCCGCACAGUUUGCAGAGACAAGACAUCGCCCGAUUGUCCUCGUCCCGAGACUAAUCGACAAGGCGGUGCAGGUAAAUCGGGAAUAGGAAGUCGAUUUCCUCGGUAGGCUUUCGAAAUUUUAGAGGAUAAGGAUGCCGUUGGCUGUCUUUCGCCUGCGUCAUCACGAAAACCAAUGGAAGAAUAAGCAUGUAGAAAGCACAUUAGUUCCGCGUUUGGACGAGGGUUCAAGUCCCUCCAUCUCCACA